rnacentral:rRNA from 1 species
ACUCAAAUGAAUUGACGGGAGCCCGCACAAGCAGUGGAGUAUGUUGUUUAAUUCGAGGCAACGCGAAGAACCUUACCAGGUCUUGACAUCCGCGGAACCCGGCGUAAUGGCUGGGGUGCCCUUCGGGGAGCCGCGAGACAGGUAGUGCAUGGUUGUCGUCAGCUCGUGUCGUGAGAUGUUGGGUUAAGUCCCGCAACGAGCGCAACCCUUGCGAAUAGUUGCUAGUGUGCAAACACAGAACUCUAUUCGGACUGCCGUUGACAAAACGGAGGAAGGUGGGGAUGAUGUCAAAUCAUCAUGCUCCUUAAGAUCUGGGCUACAAACGUACUACAAUGGCGCGAACAACGGGGAGCGAAGGCGCGAGCCGGAGCAAAUCCCAAAAACGCGCCCCAGUUCGGAUUGCAGGCUGCAACUCGCCUGCAUGAAGUCGGAAUUGCUAGUAAUCGCGGGUCAGCAUACCGCGGUGAAUACGUUCCCGGGCUUUGUACACACCGCCCGU